rnacentral:rRNA from 1 species
UACGUAGGGUGCAAGCGUUGUCCGGAAUUAUUGGGCGUAAAGAGCUCGUAGGCGGUCUGUCGCGUCUGCUGUGAAAUCCCGGGGCUCAACCCCGGGCCUGCAGUGGAUACGGGCUGGCUGGAGGCAGGCAGGGGAGAACGGAAUUCCUGGUGUAGCGGUGAAAUGCGCAGAUAUCAGGAGGAACACCGGUGGCGAAGGCGGUUCUCUGGGCCUGUUCUGACGCUGAGGAGCGAAAGCGUGGGGAGCGAACAGG